GGACACUGUUAAAAGUAUAUAGAUCUAUUUCCUCAGGGUGUGUUUAAAAAAACUUUACAGUUUACAAAACAAAAAUUGGGAUGGAUUGAAUAUGGCUUGCAUAAACCAACAAGCAAUCGCCAGAAAGACUUUAGAUUGGAAUCUCCAUGAAGAGAGGAAAUUAGCUAGGCCAAAACAAGCUUUGGAAAAGAUAAUUUAUCAGUGAAGCAGAAGUCAGAAUGUUGUCACCUGAACUUGGAGUAAUCGCCCAAAACCGAGGGCUUCUCACCAGCUUGUUUAAGAUGUGAAACAGCAUGGCCUAGAGGUAGUGUGCUAAUCUGCUACCUCAAAAGUCUCAAGUCGAAUCCGGGUUCAAGUCAGUAGAUCACCCCUGAGUCCACCCAGCUCUGAUGGGUACACAGCUCAUGUGAGGGAAAGUACAGGCGAAUGAGCAUAGUACUUAACACACUAUCCUUUCAUAGGCUGAGGUCACAGAUGCAGGUGAACUCUACUUCACUUGCCAGGUCACCAGAAUGC